GAAAUGCGAUAAGUAAUGUGAAUUGCAGAAUUCAGUGAAUCAUCGAAUCUUUGAACGCACCUUGCGCUCCUUGGUAUUCCUUGGAGCAUGCCUGUUUGAGUAUCAUGAAAUCUUCAAAGUAAAUCUUUUGUUAACUCAAUUGGUUUCUACUUUGGUAUUGGAGGUCUUUGCAGCUUCACACCUGCUCCUCUUUGUUCAUUAGCUGGAUCUCAGUGUUAUGCUUGGUUCCACUCGGCGUGAUAAGUUAUCUAUCGCUGAGGACACUGUAAAAGGUGGCCAAGGUAAAUUCAGAUGAACCGCUUCUCAUAGUCCAUUGACUUGGACAAUACUUUUAUGAUCUGAUCUCCAAUCAGGUAGGACUACCCGCUGAACUUAAGC
rnacentral:misc_RNA from 1 species